UAAUUGUAUUCUCCCUGCAGUUAUAAUAACUUUAUUARCGUGAUCCGCUAUGCUAAURUAAUUUUAAUUAUGUGUGACUAUAAGUUUUAUUCUUGCUUUCUAUUAAAUAUUUAUAUAGAUUAUAAGUAAUUAUUUUAAAAAUUAAUUUGUCAGUAAUAAAUAUUAUUAAUUAUAUUUGUUUAUAUUAAGUUAUAUAAUUAUAUUAGAUUAAAAUUGUGCCAGCAUUCGCGGUUAUACAAUUUAUUAGUUUUAAUACUGUAAGUUUUAAUUUGUUUUUAAUUGAGUGAAAAUUUCCUUUAUUUAGGUGGAAUUUAUAAUAGAAUAUUAAUUCUUUUAUUUAAUUUUUAGUAAAUUAUGAUUUGUGACUAGGAUUAGAUACCCUAUUAUUUUUUAAUUUAAUUUAUAACUUGAAUAGUAUUAGUUAUAUACUUUAAAACUCAAAGAAUUUGGCGGUAUCUUAUUUAUUUAGAGGAAUUUGGUUAUUGAAUUGAUAAUCCACGAUAGAUCACACUUUAUUUUAUAUUUGUAUAUCUCUAUACUUUGAAUGUUUUUACAAAAUAUUUUCUUUUAUUAUUUUUAAAUUUAUAUUAGGUCAAGGUGCAGUUUUAUUAAAGUUAAUAUGAAUUACUUUAAUUUUAAAUAUAUUGAAUAUAGUAAGUACAAAUAGGUUGAAAUAGAAUUUAAUGGUAAAUUUAAAUUAAUUUUUUAUAUUGACCUAUAAACUAAGAUAUGUACAUAUUGCCCGUCACUCUCAUUAUUAAUUUGAGAUAAGUCGUAACAAAGUAAUUUUACUGGAAAGUAAGGUUAGAAAGU
rnacentral:ncRNA from 1 species